rnacentral:lncRNA from 1 species
AUACCUUGAUCGAGGGUUAUCCCAACUGAGUCCGUCAAGGCUGUUAAAUGUCUUUACAUCAGAAAUUUUAGCCAUACCUUGGCGUUGGCUGAGUCUCACUCUCACGCGGUGGUCCACGUGAAGUGCACUCAAAUCUUUACCUCAGGAGAUACUUCAUCCAACAUCUCCCCCCGGAGGUAAAUAUAUAAUUGGGUUACUGUGCCCCUCUCAUAG